rnacentral:misc_RNA from 1 species
GUGAAUCAUCGAAUCUUUGAACGCAAAUUGCACUCUUCGGGGAGAGUAUGCGUGUUUGAGGGUUAGCCUAUUAAAAAUCGACAUCGUUGCUGUUUCGCGGUGGCGUUCGUCGGAAAUUGGGUCAUCUUAAAUCUUGUUGAUUUAAGCGACUUAAAAUUUUCUUCUGGUUCCGUGAACGUUGCUAAGAUCGAUUUCUUUACACGUUUAAGGUAUCGAUUUUCAGUAGACGUAACAACCAUAUGGGAUAG